rnacentral:rRNA from 1 species
CCUACGGGGUGCAGCAGUGGGGAAUAUUGGACAAUGGGCGAAAGCCUGAUCCAGCCAUGCCGCGUGUGUGAAGAAGGCCUUCGGGUUGUAAAGCACUUUCAGUGGGGAAGAAAGCCUUGGGGCUAAUACCCUCGAGGAAGGACAUCACCCACAGAAGAAGCACCGGCUAACUCCGUGCCAGCAGCCGCGGUAAUACGGAGGGUGCGAGCGGUAAUCGGAAUUACUGGGCGUAAAGCGCGCGUAGGCGGUCUGAUAAGCCGGUUGUGAAAGCCCCGGGCUCAACCUGGGAACGGCAUCCGGAACUGUCAGGCUAGAGUGCAGGAGAGGAAGGUAGAAUUCCCGGUGUAGCGGUGAAAGGCGUAGAGAUCGGGAGGAAUACCAGUGGCGAAGGCGGCCUUCUGGACUGACACUGACGCUGAGGUGCGAAAGCGUGGGUAGCAAACAGGAUUAGAUACCCCAGUAGUC